rnacentral:rRNA from 1 species
UACGGGGGGAGCAAGCGUUGUUCGGAUUUACUGGGCGUAAAGGGCGCGUAGGUGCGGCCACGCAAGUCGACUGUGAAAUCUCCGGGCUUAACUCGGAAAGGUCAGCCGAUACUGCGGGGCUAGAGUGCAGAAGGGGCAACUGGAAUUCUCGGUGUAGCGGUGAAAUGCGUAGAUAUCGAGAGGAACACCUGCGGCGAAGGCGGGUUGCUGGGCUGACACUGACGCUGAGGCGCGAAAGCUAGGGGAGCGAACGGG